rnacentral:tRNA from 1 species
GCCGUGGUGGUGUAGUGGUAGCAUAUCUGGUUACGUUCGGGCACGUGCGCAUUCUUUCAUUACAAGCGUGGUCCCGAUGAACCAGGAGGUCGCAGGUUCGAUCCCUGCCCAUGGUG